UGAUGACAGCUCGGAACGAAUAAUUGAAAUGGAUGUGGCAUUAGUGGAACUAAGUGAUUCAGAAUGUGAUGAUACAGAAGACUCUUCGUCAGAAGAUGAAAGCUCAGAACUAGACAGUGAGGAGGAGGGCAACCUCCGAAUCCCAGGAAAUCAGAAAAAGAAGGCAAAAAUUGAGGUGAUGGACAAUGUAAAUGGAUAAACUACUUUUGUGAAGUUCACUGUUGACAUUUAAAAUAUAACUAAUGUACACAGAAUAAGGAGCCAUUGUUUACACUGAAGACAUAGGUGACAUGUAUUUCUUUUUCUUGAGCAUUUUGUUGCACCUGUUAAUAUGUUUAUGCAUUUGGCUGCUUUGAACUACACUGUAAUAUUUUACCAGUACUAUUAUCUGUGGAAAGUUGUUGACCAGUGAGCCCAAUCACGAGAGUUUUGUCACAGAAAUAAUGUCUCCACUUUGCACUUGUGGAUCCCGAGGCCUUGUUCAUCAUAUGUGUAAUUCACCCACUCAUUAAAAGGCACAUGGCUUACACUGGAACCAAGGUUGGUGUCAUCUCUGUGAUGAUUCGGUCUGUCUUAAAGGUUUUCUGCUGUUGGGUGUGGACCUAACAGGACCUUACAAACAAGUAGAGACCUCAAUUAAAUACAUGUGACUACUUGUGGUUUGGUAUCGCUUAGUUUGUAGAGUUGGCCCACUGUAGUACUUCUGUUAAAGGCCUUCCUUGAUAAAUCAUUUUUAUUAAAAACAGAGCAAAUGUUGCCUUCUUAAGCCUGGAGCCUGCAGCAGUUUUAGAAAGUCAUUUCAAAUAAUGAUGUAAAUGUAUCCUUAUUUGUCACGUAACAAUUUCCUUGCUAAAACUAAUCUCAUUUUAUUUUACAUCAGCUCUAGCUUUACUUUCUAAAAAUGUAAUUGCUUUUUCUAUCCCUUACUUACACAUUAGGAAAUUAGGUAUAUUUUUGGAUGUUACAGCCUUUGUUACCUGUAAGAUGUCAACCAAAAUUUUUAUGAAAUACCACAAAACAGAAAAAACGAAUUAUAAACACAGAUUUCUACAUGGGGAGUCUUCUCUGUAUAUAUACAAGUUCAGAAAAAAACACAAGUUUAUUUUAUUAUACAACAACAAAGGACAAAAUAUAUACCUUUGUAAAGUGUUAAUAAAAGUUGAACAUUUUUCACAUA